rnacentral:rRNA from 1 species
GACGAACGCUGGCGGCGUGCUUAACACAUGCAAGUAGAACGAAGUGGCGAACGGGUGAGUAAGACGUGGGUAACCUGCCCUCAUUUUUGGGAUAAGCCUUGGAAACGGGGUCUAAUACCGAAUAAAGGGGGCUGGGCUCGCGGCCUAUCAGCCUGGUGGUGGGGUGAUGGCCUACCAAGGCGGUGACGGGUAGCCGGCCGGAGAGGGUGACGGGCAAUAUUGGGACGGCGAGACGGCUCAGACUCCUACGGGAGGCAGCAGUGGGGGAUUGGGCACAAGGGUCGACAACCUGCUGCGGUGGCGCCGCGGGGGGGAUGAAGGCUUGCGAGUUGGAAACCUCUUGCGCUAUCGAACGGGUAUGAGGAGAAGAAGCGCCGGCUAUCUACGUGCCAGCAGCCGCGGUAAUAC